AAUAUUCAUGUUCCUUGCUUUCAUUGGGCUACGGCUGACCCGGACAGAAAGCUGAUUAAUCCGUAGGGAGCGAU
rnacentral:ncRNA from 1 species